UUAAGCGACUAAGCGUACACGGUGGAUGCCCUGGCAGUCAGAGGCGAUGAAGGACGUGCUAAUCUGCGAUAAGCGUCGGUAAGGUGAUAUGAACCGUUAUAACCGGCGAUUUCCGAAUGGGGAAACCCAGUGUGAUUCGUCACACUAUCAUUAACUGAAUCCAUAGGUUAAUGAGGCGAACCGGGGGAACUGAAACAUCUAAGUACCCCGAGGAAAAGAAAUCAACCGAGAUUCCCCCAGUAGCGGCGAGCGAACGGGGAGNNNNNCCAUCCUCCAAGGCUAAAUACUCCUGACUGACCGAUAGUGAACCAGUACCGUGAGGGAAAGGCGAAAAGAACCCCGGCGAGGGGAGUGAAAAAGAACCUGAAACCGUGUACGUACAAGCAGUGGGAGCACGCUUAGGCGUGUGACUGCGUACCUUUUGUAUAAUGGGUCAGCGACUUAUAUUCUGUAGCAAGGUUAACCGAAUAGGGGAGCCGAAGGGAAACCGAGUCUUAACUGGGCGUUAAGUUGCAGGGUAUAGACCCGAAACCCGGUGAUCUAGCCAUGGGCAGGUUGAAGGUUGGGUAACACUAACUGGAGGACCGAACCGACUAAUGUUGAAAAAUUAGCGGAUGACUUGUGGCUGGGGGUGAAAGGCCAAUCAAACCGGGAGAUAGCUGGUUCUCCCCGAAAGCUAUUUAGGUAGCGCCUCGUGAAUUCAUCUCCGGGGGUAGAGCACUGUUUCGGCAAGGGGGUCAUCCCGACUUACCAACCCGAUGCAAACUGCGAAUACCGGAGAAUGUUAUCACGGGAGACACACGGCGGGUGCUAACGUCCGUCGUGAAGAGGGAAACAACCCAGACCGCCAGCUAAGGUCCCAAAGUCAUGGUUAAGUGGGAAACGAUGUGGGAAGGCCCAGACAGCCAGGAUGUUGGCUUAGAAGCAGCCAUCAUUUAAAGAAAGCGUAAUAGCUCACUGGUCGAGUCGGCCUGCGCGGAAGAUGUAACGGGGCUAAACCAUGCACCGAAGCUGCGGCAGCGACGCUUAUGCGUUGUUGGGUAGGGGAGCGUUCUGUAAGCCUGCGAAGGUGUGCUGUGAGGCAUGCUGGAGGUAUCAGAAGUGCGAAUGCUGACAUAAGUAACGAUAAAGCGGGUGAAAAGCCCGCUCGCCGGAAGACCAAGGGUUCCUGUCCAACGUUAAUCGGGGCAGGGUGAGUCGACCCCUAAGGCGAGGCCGAAAGGCGUAGUCGAUGGGAAACAGGUUAAUAUUCCUGUACUUGGUGUUACUGCGAAGGGGGGACGGAGAAGGCUAUGUUGGCCGGGCGACGGUUGUCCCGGUUUAAGCGUGUAGGCUGGUUUUCCAGGCAAAUCCGGAAAAUCAAGGCUGAGGCGUGAUGACGAGGCACUACGGUGCUGAAGCAACAAAUGCCCUGCUUCCAGGAAAAGCCUCUAAGCAUCAGGUAACAUCAAAUCGUACCCCAAACCGACACAGGUGGUCAGGUAGAGAAUACCAAGGCGCUUGAGAGAACUCGGGUGAAGGAACUAGGCAAAAUGGUGCCGUAACUUCGGGAGAAGGCACGCUGAUAUGUAGGUGAAGUCCCUUGCGGAUGGAGCUGAAAUCAGUCGAAGAUACCAGCUGGCUGCAACUGUUUAUUAAAAACACAGCACUGUGCAAACACGAAAGUGGACGUAUACGGUGUGACGCCUGCCCGGUGCCGGAAGGUUAAUUGAUGGGGUCAGCGCAAGCGAAGCUCUUGAUCGAAGCCCCGGUAAACGGCGGCCGUAACUAUAACGGUCCUAAGGUAGCGAAAUUCCUUGUCGGGUAAGUUCCGACCUGCACGAAUGGCGUAAUGAUGGCCAGGCUGUCUCCACCCGAGACUCAGUGAAAUUGAACUCGCUGUGAAGAUGCAGUGUACCCGCGGCAAGACGGAAAGACCCCGUGAACCUUUACUAUAGCUUGACACUGAACAUUGAGCCUUGAUGUGUAGGAUAGGUGGGAGGCUUUGAAGUGUGGACGCCAGUCUGCAUGGAGCCGGCCUUGAAAUACCACCCUUUAAUGUUUGAUGUUCUAACGUGGACCCGUGAUCCGGGUUGCGGACAGUGUCUGGUGGGUAGUUUGACUGGGGCGGUCUCCUCCUAAAGAGUAACGGAGGAGCACGAAGGUUGGCUAAUCCUGGUCGGACAUCAGGAGGUUAGUGCAAUGGCAUAAGCCAGCUUGACUGCGAGCGUGACGGCGCGAGCAGGUGCGAAAGCAGGUCAUAGUGAUCCGGUGGUUCUGAAUGGAAGGGCCAUCGCUCAACGGAUAAAAGGUACUCCGGGGAUAACAGGCUGAUACCGCCCAAGAGUUCAUAUCGACGGCGGUGUUUGGCACCUCGAUGUCGGCUCAUCACAUCCUGGGGCUGAAGUAGGUCCCAAGGGUAUGGCUGUUCGCCAUUUAAAGUGGUACGCGAGCUGGGUUUAGAACGUCGUGAGACAGUUCGGUCCCUAUCUGCCGUGGGCGCUGGAGAACUGAGGGGGGCUGCUCCUAGUACGAGAGGACCGGAGUGGACGCAUCACUGGUGUUCGGGUUGUCAUGCCAAUGGCACUGCCCGGUAGCUAAAUGCGGAAGAGAUAAGUGCUGAAAGCAUCUAAGCACGAAACUUGCCCCGAGAUGAGUUCUCCCUGACCCUUUAAGGGUCCUGAAGGAACGUUGAAGACGACGACGUUGAUAGGCCGGGUGUGUAAGCGCAGCGAUGCGUUGAGCUAACCGGUACUAAUGAACCGUGAGGCUUAACCUU
rnacentral:rRNA from 1 species